AUGGAGACCGAUGCUGUUAAGAGCGAGAGGGCCUGGAGAAGGUGGGGAGUGAAGAUGAAGGGGUCUCUGGUCUCUGGCGCGGGAGGCGGUGGGGGAAAGAAGUGCAGGGGGUGUCCCGAGCGCUGGCUCUGAAAUCUGAGGCAGGUUUUGCUUUGCCUUCCUGUCAACCCCAACUGUGCAUGGUAGGGUUUGUCCCCGGCGUCAAAGGCAAGAACAGCCGAGCCCCUAGACGGUGAGAGCCCAGGAGUGGGCGUUUCACUUUUCCUGCGUCUGGGCAGCCCCUGAGGCAAUGCCCUUUGACCUUUGACUUGUGUGCAGCUUCUGCUUCUCCAGAUCAUCUGGUGUUCUUUAUGAAAACUGGGAUGAGAAGCACCAAGUAUAAACCAGUAGACUACCAACAAUUGCGUGCAUUAACUGAAGCACAAAAAUUAGCUUCUGCCUGUACGGAGCUAAAGAUCAGAAAAGCGUUGCAGACUUCAAAGAUAUCUAAAGAACAAAUACUAAUGAAACAACACAAGCAAGUGUGGUGGCAAGAACACCAGAGGCUAAAUGAAGUCAG